ACGCUGGCGGCAGGCCUAACACAUGCAAGUCGAGCGGAAACGACACUAACAAUCCUUCGGGUGCGUUAAUGGGCGUCGAGCGGCGGACGGGUGAGUAAUGCCUAGGAAAUUGCCUUGAUGUGGGGGAUAACCAUUGGAAACGAUGGCUAAUACCGCAUAAUGCCUACGGGCCAAAGAGGGGGAYCUUCGGRCCUCUCGCGUCAAGAUAUGCCUAGGUGGGAUUAGCUAGUUGGUGAGGUAAUGGCUCACCAAGGCGACGAUCCCUAGCUGGUCUGAGAGGAUGAUCAGCCACACUGGAACUGAGACACGGUCCAGACUCCUACGGGAGGCAGCAGUGGGGAAUAUUGCACAAUGGGCGAAAGCCUGAUGCAGCCAUGCCGCGUGUAUGAAGAAGGCCUUCGGGUUGUAAAGUACUUUCAGUUGUGAGGAAGGGKGURKUGUUAAUAGCGNUAUCUCUUGACGUUAGCAACAGAAGAAGCACCGGCUAACUCCGUGCCAGCAGCCGCGGUAAUACGGAGGGUGCGAGCGUUAAUCGGAAUUACUGGGCGUAAAGCGCAUGCAGGUGGUUCAUUAAGUCAGAUGUGAAAGCCCGGGGCUCAACCUCGGAACUGCAUUUGAAACUGGUGAACUAGAGUACUGUAGAGGGGGGUAGAAUUUCAGGUGUAGCGGUGAAAUGCGUAGAGAUCUGAAGGAAUACCAGUGGCGAAGGCGGCCCCCUGGACA
rnacentral:rRNA from 1 species